AGAGUUUGAUCAUGGCUCAGAUUGAACGCUGGCGGCAUGCCUUACACAUGCAAGUCGAACGCGAAAGGGGGCAACCCCGAGUAGAGUGGCGAACGGGUGAGCAAUACAUCGGAACGUGUCCUGUAGCGGGGGACAACCUCGAGAAAUCGAGGCUAAUACCGCAUACGAUCUACGGAUGAAAGUGGGGGACCGCAAGGCCCCACACUAUAGGAGCGGCCGAUGCCGGAUUAGCUAGUUGGUGGGGUAACGGCCUACCAAGGCGACGAUCCGUAGCUGGUUUGAGAGAACGACCAGCCACACUGGGACUGAGACACGGCCCAGACUCCUACGGGAGGCAGCAGUGGGGAAUUUUGGACAAUGGGCGAAAGCCUGAUCCAGCCAUGCCGCGUGAGUGAAGAAGGCCUUCGGGUUGUAAAGCUCUUUCGGCGGGGACGAAAUAGCGCGGGGUAACAUCCCGCGUCGAUGACGGUACCCGAAGAAGAAGGACCGGCUAACUACGUGCCAGCAGCCGCGGUAAUACGUAGGGUCCAAGCGUUAAUCGGAAUUACUGGGCGUAAAGCGUGCGUAGGCGGUUUCGAAAGUCCGAUGUGAAAUCCCCGGGCUUAACCUGGGAACUGCGUUGGAAACUACGAGGCUGGAGUGCGGCAGAGGGGGGUGGAAUUCCAGGUGUAGCAGUGAAAUGCGUAGAUAUCUGGAGGAACACCGAUGGCGAAGGCAGCCCCCUGGGCCAGCACUGACGCUGAUACACGAAAGCGUGGGGAGCAAACAGGAUUAGAUACCCUAGUAGUCC
rnacentral:rRNA from 1 species